AUGCAGGAUCAGUCGGCUCAGAAUCCUUCGAGUUCUACUAGGGAUCCGUAUGACAGAAGCAUUUGGGAUCUUAUUUGGAAGGCAAAAGUCCCUGGGAAGGUCCGUAUCUUUGCUUGGAGGAUUGCGACUAAUACUCUGGCUACCAAGAAAAAUAAAUGGAAGAGAACCUUGGAAGCGGAUGCCACAUGCAGCAUUUGUGGCAACGGGGAGGAGGAUGAGCACCAUGCCGUUAUUACCUGUACCAAGAGCCGGGCCUUGAGGGCAGAAAUGAGAAAGAUCUGGGCGUUACCGGCUGAGCAUAAACUAAGAUACACUGGAACAGAUUGGUUACAAGUUGUCCUCGAUGCGGAAAAUGAGGAGGUGCGCGCCAAGUUACUGUUACUCCUAUGGCGAUGCUGGCACCAUAGGGAAGAUUGCAUGCGCCAUGAUGGUAAAGAAUCU
rnacentral:rRNA from 1 species